rnacentral:rRNA from 1 species
AUUGAACGCUGGCGGCAGGCCUAACACAUGCAAGUCGAGCGGAUGAAGGGAGCUUGCUCCUGGAUUCAGCGGCGGACGGGUGAGUAAUGCCUAGGAAUCUGCCUGGUAGUGGGGGAUAACGUCCGGAAACGGGCGCUAAUACCGCAUACGUCCUGAGGGAGAAAGUGGGGGAGCUUCGGACCUCACGCUAUCAGAUGAGCCUAGGUCGGAUUAGCUAGUUGGUUGGGUAAAGGCCUACCAAGGCGACGAUCCGUAACUGGUCUGAGAGGAUGAUCAGUCACACUGGAACUGAGACACGGUCCAGACUCCUACGGGACGCAGCAGUGGGGAAUAUUGGACAAUGGGCGAAAGCCUGAUCCAGCCAUGCCACGUGUGUGAAGAAGGUCUUCGGAUUGUAAAGCACUUUAAGUUGGGAGGAAGGGCAGUAAGUUAAUACCUUGCUGUUUUGACGUUACCAACAGAAUAAGCACCGGCUAACUUCGUG